GCCCAGGUGUUCCCGCCCCGCCCCCGAGCCACCUCCUCCACCUCGUAGCCUCCCGCCGGGGCAAGGCAAACCGGGCAUCUAGUGGAGAGCUUCUCAACUCGGGCCCUAGGGCACUCUUCCCACGUGGAACCCCGCGGGCCUUUCGGAGCCCCGAGGGCGGGAGGCAGCGAAGCGGAGGCCGGCAGGGCCGGUGGGAGAUGGAGCGGAGGUCCAGAGCCUCCACGCCAGGAGGCAUGGUGCGGCCCCCGUGAGUCAGGAGCAGGAGGCCGAGGGUGGGACGGGUGCACCUGCCUCGGCCCCGAGGAACCCUCCCGAGGCCCCCGCCUUCUGGUCUCGGGUGAUGCUGGGAGAUGCGGCCGGCCGGCCCCGCGUCCCGCCUGUCUGCCGUGAGCUCGGGCUGGGGAGAAACGCCGUCCAAAGGGAACCGAGUGAUGGAGCUCCACACUGCCCCCGGGCGGCGGGGGCGCGCACUCCCUGCCCUCCGAGGCUGCCUGCCUUUCUGGGCUCCGGUUUUCUACACCAUUCCGCGCACUACUCUAGUCAUUUCUAUUUUGAUACUUUCGGGACUCGGUGCCAAGCCGGAUGCUGGGCACUAUGGACACCGGGAUAAGAAAGAGACGGCCCUCUGCUCUAGGACUUUGCACCAUCGGCAAGUUCAUCGGGUAUCAUUUCCAGGACAGAUGUUUCCUUGCCUGUAGAAGCGCUGACAGAUUGCCAUGGCAGAUUGCUCCGUACCCUUCUUCUCGUAAGCGUGAUUCCCAACCGAGGUAUUGCGGAGCUGCAAGUACUUCAUCCGAAAAGAGAAACAGAAAAUGGGAACACCAGCCAGACAGAAAUGAAGCCAUGGUUCCCUGCCCACCCUGCCUGUGAAAUGGGAGGUUCCAACUUGCUCUCUGGGCAGAGAUAUUCACGUUCACGUUCACACUGAUAUGCAGAGCACAGGACCUGCUACUGGGCGCCAGGACAGCAGCCAGCAGAAAGCAUUCCCACAUUAGAGUUCUGGGCUGCAGUCUCAUUUCUGUGAGUGCAAACACGUCACAAAUUUUCUGAGCUUCCAGUUCCUUGUCUACAAAAUGAAAGACUUAUACCGCAUCAACUCUGCCAUCUUUCCUUCUUUAAAGAUCUAUAUUCAGGAAUUGAUUUUUGCAUUCAGUGUGAAUACAAACUUUAUGUCUG